rnacentral:rRNA from 1 species
CCUACGGGAGGCAGCAGUGGGGAAUAUUGGGCAAUGGGCGCAAGCCUGACCCAGCCACGCCGCGUGAAGGAAGAAGGCUUUCGGGUUGUAAACUUCUUUUAUUAAGGACGAAACAAAUGACGGUACUCAAUGAAUAAGCCGCGGCUAACUACGUGCCAGCCGCCGCGGUAAUACGUAGGUUGCAAGCGUUAUGCGGAUUUACUGGGUGUAAAGGGCGUGUAGAAGGGAAUGUAAGUCAGAUGUGAAACCAAGCGGCUCAACCCAGGUCUUGCAUUUGAAACUGGCGUUCUUGAGGGAUGGAGAGGCAGGCGGAAUUCCGGGUGUAGCGGUGAAAUGCGUAGAUAUAAGGAGGAACACCAGUGGCGAAGGCGGCUUGCUGGACAGUAACUGACGUUGAGGCGCGAAAGCGUGGGGAGCAAACAGGAUUAGAUACCCGGGUAGUC